rnacentral:rRNA from 1 species
GAACGGUAGCACAGAGAGCUUGCUCUUGGGUGACGAGUGGCGGACGGGUGAGUAAUGUCUGGGAAACUGCCCGAUGGAGGGGGAUAACUACUGGAAACGGUAGCUAAUACCGCAUAACGUCUUCGGACCAAAGUGGGGGACCUUCGGGCCUCACACCAUCGGAUGUGCCCAGAUGGGAUUAGCUAGUAGGUGGGGUAACGGCUCACCUAGGCGACGAUCCCUAGCUGAUCUGAGAGGAUGACCAGCCACACUGGAACUGAGACACGGUCCAGACUCCUACGGGAGGCAGCAGUGGGGAAUAUUGCACAAUGGGCGCAAGCCUGAUGCAGCCAUGCCGCGUGUAUGAAGAAGGCCUUCGGGUUGUAAAGUACUUUCAGUGGGGAGGAAGGCGAUGAAGUUAAUAGCUUCGUCGAUUGACGUUACCCGCAGAAGAAGCACCGGCUAACUCCGUG